CACGAACUAUGCCUCUCCUUUGUACCUUAUCGAUGCUCAUCACAGCAGUCUUAAGAGCUAGUGAUGGGCUACCAGUAACCCAGCCUGAUGACAAGGUGACUGUUGUGGAAGGCAAGCCCAUCCUUAUCAACUGUACGUACGAUUCAUCUGUUGACUACCUCUUCUGGUACAUUCUGUUACCUGGCCAGACUCCCCGGCUUUUUUUGAGGCAUUUGGGAGAUGACCCCUCCGAUGAGGGGCGUAUUCGAGACUUCAGUGCCACAAAGGAUGCAAAGCACAAAAGCUUCAACAUGGAGAAAGCCGGUAGCCGGUUGGAUGAUACUGCAAUCUAUUUCUGCGCUGGGAGUAACACACUUUCACACCCGUACACACUGAUCGCAGAUACAAUAGUGUGA